ACCCAGAUGCCAUGCUGUGAGAAGCUCAGGCUGCAUGGAGAAGACACAUGGGUAAGAAGUGAGGCAGUCUGCUUAAUGGUCCCACCUGAGCAUCCAGCUGACCUCAGCUGCUGGCCAGAACACAGUCACAUGGUUUCAGAGUAAAGGAGGAUGGAAAUGUGGUCAGUCUCUUUUUGUACCAAGGAAGAGGACACAGAUGGGAGAAAUAUCCAGCCAUUUUUCCAAGACAAAAGUAGUUGGUGCCUACGAACGUUCAGAAAAUGAGGAUAUUCUGAGGCUUCCACCAUGACCACGAUCAGCAGCUGACCUUCAGUGAGCCCUCAGAUGGAGCACCGUGCACAGAGCCAAGCAC